UUGGCUGCUACUUCCUCUCUUGAAUCAGGAUAAUCGAUGCCAGGAUAACCAUACCACCGAACACGAUAGUUUCAAUGAUAUCACAGCAUUCAUUAACAACUAGGUUUUUAAUAAAAGUGAACUGGCCUUUUGCAGAAGUGAGCAUUUCACAUUUAAGUUAAACCUUUUCUGAUCCCUGGUUGUCGUUUAGGAGAAAGAGAUAGAGAAGCAGGAGGAUCACAGCGCCUUGUCUCAGGACGAGGACGUUAGGGAAAGGAGCCAUAGAGGCGCCGCCGAUGGACCACUGUCUGCACCUCUGCUUCCUGCAAAUCUUAAAUGGAGUGACUUGAUUGAAGCCUCGUUAUCUCCAGAAACCACACCCACCCUGGAGCUGGAGAAAAAGCGUGGCUUCGAGGAACGGGGAGACUGCAAGCCGGAGAUCGACACGACUCCAGUGCGACAGCGAACUCGGCGCAGGAGGGCAGGGCGAGUACGAGCGGAUGCGGCUAAGGAAAAUGAGAAAAUUGAUUGUGUUCAAAAGGAAAAGAAAAAAGAGAAGCAGUUUCCCAAACUCCAACGAAACAGUCAGCCUCAGCGCAGGAGCCGUAGACGGAGACUUAAAAAGAUCCCUGCGUGAUUUAUUUAAACAGGAAGUGGAUGAGAAGAUUUUACCGCUGUGUCCAGGAAGUGAAUGAGCAUAAAAAAUAUUAAUAAAAAAAAAUUCACCCAGAUGAAUGUUCUUUGUAUUUUUCAAAAGAAAAGCAGAUGAUAAAAUGGUAACUGAGAGAUUAUUAAGCUACUGAAGCUAAUGGA